rnacentral:rRNA from 1 species
AACUUGAGAGUUUGAUCCUGGCUCAGAAUCAACGCUGGCGGCGUGCCUCAUCCAUGCAAGUCGAACGCGAACGCGUCCUUCGGGACGCAAGUAGAGUGGCAGACGGGUGAGUAACGCGUGGGUGACCUACCUUCGAGUGGGGGAUAACCUUCCGAAAGGAGGGCUAAUACCGCAUAACAUCCCGCCCUUGGAUGGGUGGUGAUCAAAGUCGGGGAUCUUCGGACCUGGCGCUUGUUGACGGACCCGCGUCCGAUUAGCUUGUUGGUAGGGUAGCGGCCUACCAAGGCGACGAUCGGUAGCCGGCCUGAGAGGGCGGACGGCCACACUGGGACUGAGAUACGGCCCAGACUUCUACGGGAGGCAGCAGUAGGGAAUUGUUCGCAAUGGGCGAAAGCCUGACGACGCAACGCCGCGUGGAGGACGAAGACCUUCGGGUUGUAAACUCCUGUCGAGCGGGAAGAACUGCCCGCGGGCCAAUACCCCGCGGGCUUGACGGUACCGCUAAAGGAAGCCCCGGCUAACUCCGUGCCAGCAGCCGCGGUAAU